AUUGAACGCUGGCGGCAGGCUUAACACAUGCAGGUCGAGCGGAGAUGAGGUGCUUGCACCUUAUCUUAGCGGCGGACGGGUGAGUAAUGCCUAGGAAUCUGCCUAUUAGUGGGGGACAGCAUUCCGAAAGGAAUGCUAAUACCGCAUACGCCCUACGGGGGAAAGCAGGGGCUCUUCGGACCUUGCGCUAAUAGAUGAGCCUAAGUCGGAUUAGCGAGUUGGUGGGGUAAAGGCCUACCAAGGCGACGAUCUGUAGCGGGUCUGAGAGGAUGAUCCGCCACACUGGGACUGAGACACGGCCCAGACUCCUACGGGAGGCAGCAGUGGGGAAUAUUGGACAAUGGGCGGAAGCCUGAUCCAGCCAUGCCGCGUGUGUGAAGAAGGCCUUUUGGUUGUAAAGCACUUUAAGCGAGGAGGAGGCUACCUGGAUUAAUACUCUAGGAUAGUGGACGUUACUCGCAGAAUAAGCACCGGCUAACUCUGUGCCAGCCGCCGCCGUAACAC
rnacentral:rRNA from 1 species